CCUCCUUUCUAGAGUAUUCAAAUUUUAGGAUGUUAGUCUUUUUUCUUACUUCAAUAUUAUUUAACUCACCCAAUAGCUCAGUUCUCUCUACUGAACUCCGUGGCUAUUUUAUAGUCCCUUAGCUCAGUUGGUUAGAGCGCUACACUGGUAAUGUAGAGGUCCGCAGUUCAAAUCUGCGAGGGACUACCGCUAACGGGGGAUUAGCUCAGCUGGCUAGAGCGCCUGCCUUGCAUGCAGGAGGUCAUCGGUUCGACUCCGAUAUUCUCCACUAAACUCAAAUGAGUUGAAGUUCUUUGACGUAUUUCAAUAUUAAUAAUCAUAAAAGUACAUAACAAAUUGUUACUUAUUAAAAAGCAAUUAAGGGCGUAUGGCGGAUGCCUUGUCUCUCAGAGGCGAUGAAGGACGUAAUAAGCUGCGAUAAGCUGCGAGUAGGAGCAAAUAUCCUUUGAUCCGCAGAUUUCCGAAUGG
rnacentral:misc_RNA from 1 species